AACAUUGCCCAUUGAUUUUAUAAUAAUGGGUAGAUCCUGCCCAGUGACCUAGUUCAACGGCCGCGGUAUCCUAACCGUGCAAAGGUAGCAUAAUCACUUGCCUAUUAAUUGUAGGCUAGAAUGAAUGGACUAACGAAAUUGAAUCUGUCUCUUAUUGCCAAAUAUAAAUUAAUUUUGGGGUGAAGAAGCCCAAAUAAAUUCGAAAGACAAGAAGACCCUAUAGAGCUUUAUUUAAAAGAAAUAUUUAAACUAUUUAAUUAUAAUUUGGUUGGGGCGACCUAGGAUUAAAUUUAUCAUCCUACUUAUGAAGAUAUAUUUAUCUAUUAUAUGAUCCUUAAAUUUAGAUCACUAGAAUAAGCUACCUUAGGGAUAACAGGCUAAUUCUAUUUGAAAGUUCUUAUUAAAAAUAGGGUUUGGCACCUCGAUGUUGGCUUAGGGAGUCUAAAUAGCGCAAAAGUUAUGAAAGAGGGUUUGUUCAACCCUUAAAUCCCUACGUGAUCU
rnacentral:rRNA from 1 species